UUCCGGUUGAUCCCGCCGGACCCGACUGCUAUCGGAUUGAUACUAAGCCAUGUGAGUCAUUGUAGCAAUACAAGGCAGACGGCUCAGUAACACGUAGUCAAUCUACCCUAUGGACGGGGAUAACCUCGGGAAACUGAGGAUAACACCCGAUAGAUCAUAAUUCCUGGAACGGUUUAUGGUUCAAACGAUUCGUCGCCGUAGGAUGGGACUGCGGCCUAUCAGCUUGUUGGUGAGGUAAUGGCCCACCAAGGCUAUUACAGGUACGGGCUCUGAGAGGAGAAGCCCGGAGAUGGGUACUGGGACACGGACCCAGGCCCUAUGGGGCGCAGCAGGCGAGAAACCUUUGCAAUGUGCGCAAGCACGACAAGGUUAAUCCGAGUGUUUCCUGCUAAAGGAAUCUUUUGUUAGUUGUAAAACCACUAUCGAAUAAGGGGUGGGCAAGUUCUGGUGUCAGCCGCCGCGGUAAAACCAGCACCUCAAGUGGUCAGGAGGAUUAUUGGGCCUAAAGCAUCCGUAGCCUGUUCUAUAAGUUUCCGGUUAAAUCCAUUAGCUCAACUAAUGGGCUGCCGAAAAUACUGUAGAACUAGGGAGUGGGAGAGGUAGACGGUAUUCGGUAGGAAGGGGUAAAAUCCUUUGAUCUAUUGAGGACCACCUGUGGCGAAGGCGGUCUACCAGAACACGUUCGACGGUGAGGGAUGAAAGCUGGGGGAGCAAACCGGAUUAGAUACCCGGGUAGUCCCAGCCGUAAACGAUGCAGACUCGGUGAUGCGCUGGCUUGUGGCCAGUGCAGUGCCGCAGGGAAGCCGUUAAGUUUGCCGCCUGGGAAGUACGUACGCAAGUAUGAAACUUAAAGGAAUUGGCGGGGGAGCACCACAAGGGGUGAAGCCUGCGGUUCAAUUGGAGUCAACGCCGGG
rnacentral:rRNA from 1 species